CAGCAAGCCUGCAGCGUGCUGGGGUCUGCAGUGACCCUGCUGCAUUCCUACACUGCUUGCCAGGACACUUUUGAAAUGGUUUGAGGCCUUGCCCUGCCCUCUCCAGAGCAAGGUGAUAGAAAUUCCAGACAAUU
rnacentral:snoRNA from 2 species